AACCUAGCACACCUGCGGUGUGUACCUGCGGAGGGAUCAUUAUAGAGUUUUCUAAACUCCCAAACCCAUGUGAACUUACCAUUGUUGCCUCGGCAGAACCUACCCGGUACCUACCCUGGAACUAGCUACCCUGUAGCUACCCAGGAACGGACUACCCUGUAACGUCCUGCCGGUGGACUUCUAAACUCUUGUUAUUUAUAGUAAUCUGAGCGUCUUAUUUUAAUAAGUCAAAACUUUUAA
rnacentral:misc_RNA from 1 species